rnacentral:rRNA from 1 species
UACAGAGGUCUCGAGCGUUAGGCGGAAUCACUGGGCUUAAAGCGUGUGUAGGCGGAUCCGUAAGUACCUUGUGAAAUCCCACAGCUUAACUGUGGAACUGCUUGGUAUACUGCGGGUCUUGAGCCACUCAGGGGCGAGCGGAACAAAUGGUGGAGCGGUGAAAUGCGUAGAUAUCUGGAGGAACACCGGUGGCGAAGGCGGCAUCCUGGACCAACACUGACGCUGAGGAGCGAAAGCCAGGGGAGCAAACGGG